rnacentral:tRNA from 1 species
GCCUCAAUGAUCUAGAGGUUAAGGGUUCGGGCGCGUAACCGAAGGUCCAAGGUUCAAUUCCUGCCGGAGGG